ACAAAUAGUCCUACCAGUUUUUUACAAAGUAGAUCCCACUGAGGUUCAAGACCUGACAGGGAAUUUCGGGAAGGCACUUGCUAUGCAUGGAGAAAAAGGCAAUUCACAGAAGGUGGACAGCUGGAAGCGUGCUUUGAUGGAGGUAAGCAACUUUGCAGGAUGGGAUUUACAGGAAAUCAAGUAAGUAUAUUACUUUUUAAUUACUCUUUACUGUAGUUUUUCUAGUUUUCAAUUUAAGGGAAGGGAAUCAAAAUUUAGAAAUUUUUAACUGAGUACAUUAAUCUUAACACAAAGCACCAAUUCAAACAUAGACAGCACUUAUACGGAAAACAUAGUAAUUAUAUAUUACUGUUUACUUAGAAGUGUAAGUCUACCAUUACUUACUAGUGUUUGUUGUUCACAUGUGACUAGAUAUGAGGCCAAAUUGGUUGAGGGAAUUGUCAAUGAUGUUCUGAAAAAAUUUAGUGAUAUGUCUAAAGGUGAUGAUUCUUAUGAUCUCAACUUGAUUGGAAUUAAACUGCG
rnacentral:misc_RNA from 1 species